rnacentral:rRNA from 1 species
UACGGAGGGUGCGAGCGUUGUCCGGAAUCAUUGGGCGUAAAGGGCGCGUAGGUGGCGGCUUAAGCGUGCGGUGAAAGCUCGGGGCUCAACCCCGAGUCGGCCGUGCGAACUGAGUCGCUUGAGCACUGUAGAGGCAGGCGGAAUUCCGGGUGUAGCGGUGGAAUGCGUAGAGAUCCGGAAGAACACCGGUGGCGAAGGCGGCCUGCUGGGCAGUAGCUGACACUGAGGCGCGACAGCGUGGGGAGCAACAGG